GAAGGAUCACGGGCUGGUACGGCCAUGACACGAGGCAUCAUCGUGACAGCGGCAGUGCUGGAGGAAGUGAGCGUUUUAUAACCCUGUAAUCAGGAGCUGCUGUCAGGAGAAAAACACACUGUGACUCAUCGUUCUUUCUCCAAUUUCUCCUCCAGCACACAGAACCUGCGAGUGUGGAGGCGACGUUCUAAUCGAGCGUGCUGAUGUUCUACAACCAGAUGCGUGACGUGUGACACAACGGAGCAUCGGCGUCUCAGGUGAUAAUGGGCAUAAAACAGAUCUGCAUCAUGCUGGGGUCAUCGACCUUCAUCAUCUGUUUCUGAACACCUCAGUCAUCAGAGAGGAAACAGGAAGUGGUAAUUUGCAUCACAUCUUGCUGAGACUUUUAUUUAUAGAAAUAUUGACAUGUUGAUCAGUAUUUUAUUCAGCUCCAGAUGCAGCAAGAGAUUAUUUUAACAACUUUUUAACACCAGAGCUUCAUCUCUACUCAAACGUUCUCCUUUCUCCUGCACUGGCGAUGGCCUCCUCACGCUCCUCACGCUGAGUUUUAUGCUGAAGAUGUUUAUCAGGUUUUGUUCUGGAUGCUGUCGGAAGAUGAUGUUGUUCCUCCUCUGGAUCUUUUCAGAGUGCAGUUUACAGUCUGCUUUACUCAGAACAUUCAUCAUGAAAUCCAUCCAGAUCGCUGUGAUUUCACAUCAUCUCUUUGUUAGCGUGGCUCAUGUCUAAGGGUAUCACCUAUAAUAAUAAUAAUAAUAAUAAUAAUAAUAAUAAUAAUCUCAUUAUCUCUAGCCGCUUUAUCAUUAUUACGCAAAUGAAGCUUCAUUAAGUUCACAAGCUUCAGAUUAUCUCAUUAAAUGCAAACAUUUAGAUAAUUAGAUAAAAACAUAAAGCGUUUUAAUUCAUGACUGUAAUGUGAGAGGCUCGGUGCAGAAUUAAAUUAUUCACUUGAGCAGCGCUGAUGAUUUUUAAUGUUUUAUUUUCACCUCAUUUGCAUAUGUAAUGAAUUUGUGCUGGAUUACAGUCAUCAUGUCUCUCCUUUAUCCCUCUCUCUCCGUCUUUAUCCCUCAUUCUUGUAUCUUUUCAAUCUCUCCCCAUCCUCAUUACUGCAUUUC